AAAUAAUAUUAAAAUUUCUUAAAAUAAAAAAAAAAAAAAAAAUUGUCUAACUAAUUAUUGUUAUCACGAAUUUAAUACCUUUAGCUUAUCUAGACGCUCGUUCAUUGAUGAUAGUAGACAUUCCACGUUAAGGGUGUAUGCAGAUGCAUGCAUAAUUAGUAUUCCCGUACGUACUCGUUAUGCGACCAGUAACAAAUUAAUGAUAAGCUACUGCAUUAGGCUAGAUAGGGAACGAGCUUAUUCCAUUUACUUCCUUUUACCUUUUAUCUCUACGUUAUAUAGACGAUACAACUAUCUCGAAUAUAUAAUGGGCAAACUUUUGAAAGAUAAUCUUGGGAACGAUUUACUGAAGUUUUCAUUUAUUAUAAAUUUUUUUAUCCAAUUUCC